rnacentral:rRNA from 1 species
ACGGGUGAGUAACGCGUGGGAAUCUACCCAGUUCUACGGAACAACUGAGGGAAACUUCAGCUAAUACCGUAUACGCCCUACGGGGGAAAGAUUUAUCGGAAUUGGAUGAGCCCGCGUAAGAUUAGCUAGUUGGUGGGGUAAUGGCCUACCAAGGCGACGAUCUUUAGCUGGUCUGAGAGGAUGAUCAGCCACACUGGGACUGAGACACGGCCCAGACUCCUACGGGAGGCAGCAGUGGGGAAUAUUGGACAAUGGGCGCAAGCCUGAUCCAGCCAUGCCGCGUGAGUGAUGAAGGCCUUAGGGUUGUAAAGCUCUUUCAGUGGGGACGAUAAUGACGGUACCCACAGAAGAAGCCCCGGCUAACUUCGUGCCAGCAGCCGCGGUAAUACGAAGGGGGCUAGCGUUGUUCGGAUUUACUGGGCGUAAAGCGCACGUAGGCGGAUCGUUAAGUCGGGGGUGAAAUCCUGGAGCUCAACUCCAGAACUGCCUUCGAUACUGGCGAUCUUGAGUCCGGAAGAGGUGAGUGGAACUCCUAGUGUAGAGGUGGAACUCGUAGA